UACGAAGGGGGCUAGCGUUGCUCGGAUUGACUGGGCGUAAAGGGCGCGUAGGCGGUUCGUACAGUCAGACGUGAAAUUCCUGGGCUCAACCUGGGGGCUGCGUUUGAUACGUGCGGACUUGAGUGCGGAAGAGGGUCGUGGAAUUCCCAGUGUAGAGGUGAAAUUCGUAGAUAUUGGGAAGAACACCGGUGGCGAAGGCGGCUCUCUGGACCGAUACUGACGCUGAGGCGCGAAAGCGUGGGGAGCAAACAGG
rnacentral:rRNA from 1 species